ACCUGCUGGGCAACCAAAGCCCAGGGUCAGUAUCGUCAAGAUGGCUCUGCUCCUCUCACAGUCACAGGCCACGGGAGUCAGGGAAAGCAGAGACACUCAGACAAUCAGUUUCCAAUCAAUGAUGCAGAGGGCACGACCCAGCAGGUAUGUGUGUCCCACCAUGCGACCUACUCGAUCUGCACUGGGUUUAUGCCCAGCAGUGCACACAGGAGCACAGAACAUUCCUGCCAGCCCAGAGCUGGACUCGGAGUUCCCCCACCCAUGGUGUGCAGCUCACUGUUCGGCUCAAAGCUGGUCUAUUGCCCACAGGGGAAAACCACAGCCCGUAAGAGCGCAGGACUCUUCUUGCUUGGGCUGGAGUCACCUUCCUGGCAGAGCCCCGAGGCUGAGAGGGCAGCCCUGCAGCACGCAGGUGCCCAACCUCUCCCUUACCUGCACCCCAGGAAAGGAAGCUGGGGCACAGCCACAAACCGGACAGGAGCCGCUCCGCUCCUCACCUUUCAAGGCCACUGGCAGUGUGGGGUUUUCCAGGCUCACGUCUGGUCUGAGGGUACAGAUCCUUUCGCUGUCAUUCCCGGUACCCGAGCUCGAGGCAGCUGUGACAGCGGGUGAUGCCUUGGCUGCAGAAGAUGGGAAGAGCAGGGGAAACAUGAAUAAGGUGCCACAAGUCGUACCGGUCAUGGUCAGGCGCAUUGCCUGGCCUGCACUGAACAGGGCCAGCAAGCAGGGCAUGCCAGUUGAUUCCCACUGCAAGCUUGCAUUUGCACUGCCCCCCCAGCUCUCUUCUGUCUUCACACCAGCUUCAGACCAAAUGCCCUUCAGUCAAAACUUCUGGGCUUCUCAGAUGGAGAAUGAAUGUUGCGCAACAGAAUGCGGUGGUGAUGCUGCCUUCAACAGCACUACCUCCAGAGUCAGGGAAGUUGCCACUGAUGCUCCAGAAGGCAAAGCCCGUGCAGGCUGCCCCUAAGCAAUGAUGCUCUGCUUGGCAUUGCUCUUGCAGUGGCAUUCCCA
rnacentral:lncRNA from 1 species